rnacentral:rRNA from 11 species
GGGUGCGAUCAUACCAGCACUAAUGCACCGGA